AAAUUGAAGAGUUUGAUCAUGGCUCAGAUUGAACGCUGGCGGCAGGCCUAACACAUGCAAGUCGAGCGGAAACGAGUUAUCUGAACCUUCGGGGAACGAUAACGGCGUCGAGCGGCGGACGGGUGAGUAAUGCCUAGGAAAUUGCCCUGAUGUGGGGGAUAACCAUUGGAAACGAUGGCUAAUACCGCAUGAUGCCUACGGGCCAAAGAGGGGGACCUUCGGGCCUCUCGCGUCAGGAUAUGCCUAGGUGGGAUUAGCUAGUUGGUGAGGUAAGGGCUCACCAAGGCGACGAUCCCUAGCUGGUCUGAGAGGAUGAUCAGCCACACUGGAACUGAGACACGGUCCAGACUCCUACGGGAGGCAGCAGUGGGGAAUAUUGCACAAUGGGCGCAAGCCUGAUGCAGCCAUGCCGCGUGUAUGAAGAAGGCCUUCGGGUUGUAAAGUACUUUCAGUCGUGAGGAAGACGGCGUCGUUAAUAGCGGCGUUGUUUGACGUUAGCGACAGAAGAAGCACCGGCUAACUCCGUGCCAGCAGCCGCGGUAAUACGGAGGGUGCGAGCGUUAAUCGGAAUUACUGGGCGUAAAGCGCAUGCAGGUGGUUUGUUAAGUCAGAUGUGAAAGCCCGGGGCUCAACCUCGGAAUAGCAUUUGAAACUGGCAGACUAGAGUACUGUAGAGGGGGGUAGAAUUUCAGGUGUAGCGGUGAAAUGCGUAGAGAUCUGAAGGAAUACCGGUGGCGAAGGCGGCCCCCUGGACAGAUACUGACACUCAGAUGCGAAAGCGUGGGGAGCAAACAGGAUUAGAUACCCUGGUAGUCCACGCCGUAAACGAUGUCUACUUGGAGGUUGUGGCCUUGAGCCGUGGCUUUCGGAGCUAACGCGUUAAGUAGACCGCCUGGGGAGUACGGUCGCAAGAUUAAAACUCAAAUGAAUUGACGGGGGCCCGCACAAGCGGUGGAGCAUGUGGUUUAAUUCGAUGCAACGCGAAGAACCUUACCUACUCUUGACAUCCAGAGAACUUUCCAGAGAUGGAUUGGUGCCUUCGGGAACUCUGAGACAGGUGCUGCAUGGCUGUCGUCAGCUCGUGUUGUGAAAUGUUGGGUUAAGUCCCGCAACGAGCGCAACCCUUAUCCUUGUUUGCCAGCGAGUAAUGUCGGGAACUCCAGGGAGACUGCCGGUGAUAAACCGGAGGAAGGUGGGGACGACGUCAAGUCAUCAUGGCCCUUACGAGUAGGGCUACACACGUGCUACAAUGGCGCAUACAGAGGGCGGCCAACUUGCGAAAGUGAGCGAAUCCCAAAAAGUGCGUCGUAGUCCGGAUUGGAGUCUGCAACUCGACUCCAUGAAGUCGGAAUCGCUAGUAAUCGUGGAUCAGAAUGCCACGGUGAAUACGUUCCCGGGCCUUGUACACACCGCCCGUCACACCAUGGGAGUGGGCUGCAAAAGAAGUAGGUAGUUUAACCUUCGGGGGGACGCUUACCACUUUGUGGUUCAUGACUGGGGUGAAGUCGUAACAAGGUAGCGCUAGGGGAACCUGGCGCUGGAUCACCUCCUUAUACGAUGAU
rnacentral:rRNA from 1 species